rnacentral:rRNA from 1 species
UACAGAGGUCUCAAGCGUUGUUCGGAUUCAUUGGGCGUAAAGGGUGCGUAGGUGGCGUUGGUAAAGUUUGAUGUGAAAAGCUCAGGGCUUAACCCUGAAAUGGCAUUGAAUACUACUGUGCUGGAGGUUUGGAGGGGGGACUGGAAUUCUUGGUGUAGCAGUGAAAUGCGUAGAUAUCAAGCAGAACACCUGCGGCGAAGGCGGCCUUCUGGACGAUGACUGACGCUGAGACGCGAAAGCGUGGGGAGCAAACAGG